UACGUAGGUGGCAAGCGUUGUCCGGAAUUAUUGGGCGUAAAGCGCGCGCAGGCGGUUUCUUAAGUCUGAUGUUAAAGCCCACGGCUUAACCGUGGAAGGUCAUUGGAAACUGGGAGACUUGAGUGCAGAAGAGAAGAGCGGAAUUCCACGUGUAGCGGUGAAAUGCGUAGAGAUGUGGAGGAACACCAGUGGCGAAGGCGGCUCUUUGGUCUGUAACUGACGCUGAGGCGCGAAAGCGUGGGGAUCAAACAGG
rnacentral:rRNA from 1 species